ACCUCAUUAGUGAGUAACCCAGAAAAAUGUUGACAUAUUAAAAGUAUUUGUCACAAGUUAAUAUUGUAUACUCAAUAUCUUGUUAACACAUUAUACUUCCAGUAUUUCAGAUAAGUAAUAUAAGAAGAAAAGGGAGGCAAUUUAAAUUUAGAUUUUUGUGAUUUUCUUUUUAAAGGGUACAUUCCACCAACAGUGUUGAAAUUGGGAGUUAGUUGCUUGCUGCAUACUUCACUAGACUUUAGCUGAGACCGCUGUAGAAGGUGUGUAAUGUCUUCAAGCAAAAUGAGAAAUGGAGCCAUAAUGUUAAUUAAUAUCUUGAGUACAUAAGCAAUAAGUUUGUCAUUGUUUUCUCUCAUCUUAAAUUAACUGAGAAAGACCCAGUUUCCUGAUAAAGACAAAAAUUUGACUAAUGGCAGUUUUCAGAGAUAUUUCAUCCUGUUUCUAACUUGAUGUACAUAAGUAAUUGUUCUCAUUAGUAUUCAUUCAUGGGACAGUACCCUACCAGGGCCUCCAAGAAAUGUGCAAAAAGUAUGGAGACAAAUAACAUUUAAUUCUGUCUCUCCCUUUGUGAAAAUAUGGUAAAAAUGUUUCUAAGGCUUCAUUAAAGGGGAGUUUACUUGGGGAUUUAGAAUUGAGACUUAGCCUCUGCUAGAGGUGGUAUGAAUAAUAUGAUGAACCAAAUUACUGUCCUAUUUAAAUAAUCCUAGGCUUUCCUUGGUAGCCUAAUGAAAAGUUGCUAGAAACUUAAGUGGAAGUGGCUUAAACUCCCAAUAUGUUUCACAGCCUCAUUUUUG
rnacentral:lncRNA from 1 species